rnacentral:lncRNA from 1 species
GGGGCGGUUAGCGAUGGCAAGGAGGACCUCAGUGAGGGGCUCGAGGUGGGGGGCAGCAGGGGUGGGGAGGGGAGGGGGGAGGGUAGUGAUGGCGAUGGUAGAGAGGAUGGCCUGGUCACGGAUGGUGGUGGUGUCAGGAGAGGGGGGUUGGAAGAGGGUGUGGUGGGCAUCAAGGAGUUGGGCACGAGUGGCGGUGGGUGACAGGAUGGAGAAGGGGUAGUGGUGGUCAUCGACUGGUGUGGGGAAGAAGGCCGAGGAGGAGAGCAGGUGGCAAUGGGAGGCGGAGGGGUGGCCUUGGUCAUGGGCGUGGGGCGCGGAACAAGGCUAGGCCAAAUCCAGGCCCA